rnacentral:rRNA from 1 species
UAAGGAAUAUUGGACAAUGGGCGCAAGCCUGAUCCAGCAAUGCCGCGUGCAGGAUGAAGGCCUUCGGGUUGUAAACUGCUUUUGUACGGAGCGAAAAGGUCUGCCCUAAUACGGUGGGCUCAUGACGGUACCGUAAGAAUAAGCACCGGCUAACUACGUGCCAGAAGCCGCGGUAAUACGUAGGGUGCGAGCGUUAAUCGGAAUUACUGGGCGUAAAGCGUGCGCAGGCGGUUAUAUAAGACAGAUGUGAAAUCCCCGGGCUCAACCUGGGACCUGCAUUUGUGACUGUAUAGCUAGAGUACGGUAGAGGGGGAUGGAAUUCCGCGUGUAGCAGUGAAAUGCGUAGAUAUGCGGAGGAACACCGAUGGCGAAGGCAAUCCCCUGGACCUGUACUGACGCUCAUGCACGAAAGCGUGGGGAGCAAACA